rnacentral:tRNA from 3 species
GGGCGGCUAGCUCAGUGGUAGAGCGCAUCUCUGAUAAAGAUGAGGUCGAUGGUCCGAUCCCAUCGCCGCCCACCA